rnacentral:lncRNA from 1 species
CUCAGAAGCCUUGAUAAUUUGUUGUAUUGUUUUGGUUCUAUCCCCAUUUUGUGCUUCACUAAGAUCAAUUGUUGGGAUGGUUUUGUUAAUUGGGAUUUUGAAAUUCCCUGGUCUUGUUUCUUGUGGGAAUACAUAGUCCUCAGGCACAGAUUUGAUGCUUGACCGGUUUGAAAUAAAUUUCUCCNUUUUUUUUUUUUUAAGGAAUCAUGCUUUAUAAUUUUUAUUUUUUUUGAAGAAGUUAAAUUAGCUUAUCCAAAUUGAUACCGGAGAGAACCAUCAGACCAAUUCAAGUGGGUUCAUGUUUUACAAUGUUGUUUCCUUUUUGCAUCAGACAUGCUAAUUGUAAAACAUAAAUAUUUGAAUCAAUCAUUAAGUGUAUUUUAACCACUUGAUUAAGUGGUUAAACUCAUAUCCUCAUGUAAAUCAACGAGAGUGUAACCUUUAUAGCCUGACUUGUAUCCCAAGAAAAAAGUUUUUCUAGCUCUAGAUUGAAGUUUAGUUCUAUGGACAGAAAGAGAAGUAGCAUAACACAGACAACCAAAAACUUUGAAAGUUGAAAUGUCAGGUAAUUUGUAGUAAAGAACUUGAUAAGGACACUUAUGAUUAAGGGUAUGAGUGGUGAUACGGUUAAUGAGGAAAAUUGCAUGAGAAACUGCAUAAGAUCAAAAAGAGGAGGGUAGUUUGGAUUGGAAUAAAAAAGUGCUCUACCAACAUUUAAAAUGUGUUGGUUUUUUUUUUCUACCCUACCUUUUUGUUGAGGAGUAGCAACACAAGAUUUUUGAUGGAUAAUGCCAAGGGAAUCAUAAAAGGUUGGAAGGAUAAACUCAUGGCCAUUGUCUGAUCUGACAUCUUUAGGAGUGAUAUAAAACUGGUUUUGAAUCAUGGCAAUGAAACAUUGGACAUGGUGAGAAACUUCAGCUUUGGGUUCAAGGAGAAUAAUCCAAAGAAACCUAUUAUGAUCAUCAACAAUGGUAAGGAAGUAUUUGUGACCAUGAACAGAAGGUACAGAUAAGGGACCCCAAAUAUCAAAGUGUAGCAAUUCAAAAUUAGAAGAUGCAUUAGAAUUACUAGAUUCAAAAGGAAGAUGCUUUUGUUUAGCAAAAUGAUAGACAUCGCAAAUUGAAUUAUUAUCAGAAACAAUAUUGGAGUACAAAGUUGACAUCUUAUUCACUCUUUGAUGAGAUAAGUGUCCCAAUCUGAAGUGCAAUAAGGCUUUAUUGGGAAUAACAACAAUACUUGAAUUACAAGAAAUUGAAGAAAUUGCAUUACAAAUUUAUUGAUAUGACUAGAAAGAUCACUAGCAGAAACUAAAGAUAGAGAAUGGAGUAUGUAUAAACCAUCCACUUGUUUAGCCAAAUCAAUCUGCUUCAUUGAGAAUUGGUCAUGUAUAAUGCAUUGAGUAUGUGAGAAUUGCACAAAACAAGAUAAAGAAUGACACAAUUUGGCUACAUAGAUAUGAUUCAACUUAAAGGAAGGAGAAUAAAGAGCAUUGGUGAGAUAAAGCUGAGAACUAAAAGAAACAAUGUCAUCAUGAUUAACAAGGAUAGAGGUACCAUUAGGUAAAUUGACAUGAACAUGCUUAAUCUGAUAAAAUGAAGUAAAAGAAGCUAAGUUGCCAUAUAUGUGCUCAUUACCCCCAGAAUGUAAUAACCAAUGUGAGGUAGAAGGAAAAAAACAAGAAUGAGUAUUCAGAUUACCUACAGAAGAAGAAGCAGCAGUGUAAUUGGAGGAAACUUGAGGAGAAACACUAAUAUGGUUGGUAGUAGGGUCAGAUGUAGAAGCAGGAACUGAGGUAAACAAAUUUGUCUGCUGCAACAAGAAGAUAAGCUGAUCCAUCUUUUCUUGAGACAAACCAGUACUACCAGAAGAGUUGCUUGCAUCUGAAGCUUCAUUCGAAGUAGCAUUGGCCUGUGAAAUCUUCUUGUUCACAUUAGGAUAGCCAUGCUUUUGAUAGAAAAAGUCAAUUGUGUGAUUGUGUCUAUUUCAAAAAAUGCAAAACCUUGAUGAAGGUUUAGUGAAUGAACAUUUACCACGCCCUUAAGGUUUCUUUGCAUCAUAUGCAUUAACAAGCACAUUAUCUUCAGCAAGAGAAGGGAGUGAAAGAAGAGAAGUAUUAUUACUUUCUUCUUGUAAAACCAAAGAGAAAUUCUUAUUCAAGGUAGGCAAUGGAUCCAUCAAUAAGACUAGAGUCUUCACAGCAAAAAAUUGCUUAUUGAUGCUAGUUAAAAACUGAAUGAUUUGGUCCUCAUUUCUAUAUGUGUCAGUAACCUUAAGAGCAUCACAUCAACAUUGAUGAUGACAGUACAAUUUGGGAGAGGAGGAUGAGAAUGUAAUUCUUCCCACAAAGCUUUCAUUUCAGUGAAAUAAUCCAACACAAAUUUGGUAUUUUGCCUAAGAUUGUUAAUUUAAUUCCAGAACGCAAAUUGGCAAUUCUAAUACGAUCAAUCUUAGAAAAACGUUCCUUCAAAUCCUCCCAAAAAUCAAAAGCAUUAUCAUGAAACAAUAUAGUUUGAGAAAUUGAAUCAGAAACAGAAUUAAUAAUCCAAGACUAUACCAAAUGAUUGCAUCUUUCCGAAGCAUUACGAUUGAGGUCAUCAUGAUCAGGUACAGGUAGAGUUCCAUUGAUAAAGGGAAGCUUGUUCUUAACACCCAAAGCACGCUGCAUUGAUCUACUCCAUGCAAGAUAAUUGGAUCCAUUGAACUUAGGAGACACAAUCACCGAAUUAGGUCCUUCACUAUGAUGAACAAAGAAAGCAGAAUCAGUAUCAUUGUUGCUGUUGUUGAUUCGAAGCACGAACCAUCAUUCCAAAUCAGAGGAAGAAGAUGAAGAUCUUCGUAAGAAAUAAAUGCAGAGAAGCAAUACGCAAAGCUUGCGAAGGAAGAAAGAGAAGAAUCUCAAUACAAAAUUGAGAACAAAACAAGAAGAAUCAUGAAGAGAAAGAGAAAGAAAACUGAUACCAUAUUAUAAAUGAUAGAAAUAAUAUGUAAUUGCUUGAUGAAUCAGAGAGUACAACAACUAUUUAUAGGUAGUUGAUGCUGUACAAUACAUAUGAUGGACUAGCAUCAGCAUAUUAAAGCUACUACUAAGGUAAGCUAAGUUGCUUGUGGUCUAAGCUAUCUAAACCACUCUUAUUAUGUAAUAUAAAUAAAUCCUGAAUUAUUAAAAAAAUAAAAAAUAAGGAGUCCAACAACAACUCUUACAACAUCAAUUUAUUAAAAAAAAAAAUUACAUAAUCGAAUGAUACUUUUUGCCUUUCACAAUAUUUCAUUUAAUCCUUUGGUUCCUCUUCCUCAUAGGAUUUCAGCACCAUAUCCAUAUCACCAUGUUUCUUAAAGAAGCGAGUGAGCAACUCCUUAUAUUCGUAAGACUUAUAAAUAGGUGGAUUGUGUUCAUCAAUGAGAUCUUUUGUUGGUUCAAUGAAACAAUCACCUGAUGGAGCUAUAAAAAAGGCAGCAGUUGUACGAGCUUGAUCUGAAUUUGUCACAGCUCUAUGUUCAGCACUUUUUAGCUUACCAUUAGUGAGUAUCUGUAUUCAAUAUUGUAACCCAUCACAAGUCAACAAAAUUUACAGACCUAAAUAAAUUUAAAAGAGACAUGAUUGAAAUGAAAAAAAAAAUGAAAGAUUUCCUUCAAGGGUUUGAUAGUGAUAUUUUGAAGUCAUUGGAGCCAAUCAUUGCUAUUGAAAUCUAUAUUGAAUCUAGAGGAUCAGAGGUGCAGAGGAUUGAGAAAUGAUAUUUUGUACAACCAUUUUCUAAUAACUUUUGUGACAACUUUCUCUAUCAUACUCAUAUUAUAAUUUUACUUUAUCUCUCUAUUGUUUUGGUUUUUGUGUCAAUACAUAAUUUUCUUUGUAAGAGUAUGGUUGUCUAUAUGGUUGUCAAUCAAAUUAAUGUUCAAAUAACAUUGCUCGAGAGGAUUAGAGGGGUCAAGAGGAUCUGAGUAGUCUAGACGAUCAAAGAGGUGCAGAGGAUCAACACCACAAUUGUUCACUAGAGAGGAUGUGAUGCUUAACUGGUAUAGUGUAUAGUUGUUAUGAUGUAUAAAGUGGCGGAGUCAGGAUCAUUACAAAAUCUGGGCAAAAAAUAUUUCAACACAGGUUUACAUAAGAAAUUGCAAGUAAAUAAUCAAAAAAUUUAAAGAAAUUGUCCAAUUUAUAGGGAUUUAUAAAAGAAAUUCAGAGAAAUUUACAUAAAAAAUUGCAAAAUAUUUGGGUCGGAGCCUGAGCAACGCCCAGGCUUUCCGGGCCUUAGAACCGCCCCUGGAUGUAUAUACUAUAGAUUAUAACAAGUUGAUAGAGAUUAGUUAGUUGAAAGUUAAUAACUAGUUGUCAUUAGUUAGUCAGCUAGAGAUUAACUCUUAGUUAGCAUAACCACCUCUAUAUAUACGGUUGCUACAUUAUACAUAUUCUAUCUCUACAAUCUUCUAUCAAAACAAUUUACAUAAUUUUCAUUCAUACUCUCUCAUUUUUCUUCGAAGUUGCAAUUCACCUCACAUUAGUGUGUAGUUCUUCAACCCAGCAUAAACCAUCAAAAUAAUAUCCUUAAAAUGAUAGUAAUUGAUGACAAAUGCAUCAAGUGUACCUGCAAGGCGCAGCCUAUGUUGAUGACAAAUGCAUGAGGAAUGGCAUCAACAGCUAUCCACUCUCCGUCCUUAAGUACUUGAAGGCCACAUAUAUCUUCUUGUUGUAAAACGGUUAUGAGGUAAGCAUCAAAGUGUUUGAUUACACCAAGUGUUAAACUUGGAUCAGGGCAUGGUGGAUAAUGAUUAAGUGAGAUAACCAAUGAGUCACUAAGAUUAUCAUUGUCGAAAUAUCCACACUCCAAACCAAGCCCUUCACUAAUUAAAUUCAUGAUCCUUGAACCCAACUCCUUAAUUUUAACUGAAUAAUUCCCAACACACUCUCUGCAAAAAAAAAAAAAAAAAAAGAUCUUUAACUACAUGUGCAAAUUAGAGGUGACAAGUGAUAGCCCGUAAAUAAGUUGGUUAUCACAUUCCAGUUAGCCCCUAUAAUAGAUAAGUAAUGGAAUGAUUGCAAUGUCUUAAACAUUUAAUCAAUGUCUAUUUUAGGAUUUUAUAGUUUUAAAUAUUUUUAGUACUUUGAAACUAGUAAUGCUUGUUUAUGAUGUUUGAUGAUGUAGGUUAAGGAAUGACUCUAAAGAUGUGGGAAGCUGCAGCGUGGAUUGAAGAUGUAUCACUGAAGAUGUGAAAAGUUGCAGCGUCCUAGGACUCUAGCUGGGUCGUACAUAGUACGAGUGCGUGAGUUCAGUCUCUCCUUGCUUAAUGAGGAAUAAUAUGAGUUGUCCUCAAUGAAUGAAAUCCUAGGAAAAAUAAAAGAAUAUGCCAAUAUUUGAUAAGGAGUGAUGAAUAAGGACAACCCAUGUACUAUAAAAGGACCCCAUGUGUUAGUGCCAAGGUCCGAAAAUUCAUCAUAGAAUUGGAGAUGCCAGGUUACGGCUAGGGUUAACAAAUUUAGAGAUAUUUUCAUUGAUAUUUUCUAAGUAAUAAUUAAUUGGGUUAAAUAAGUAAAUGGUCCCCUUAAAUAUACUAAUAUUUGAUUUUAGUUUCCUUAAAAUAUUCUUUAGGUUUUUUGUCCCUCCAAAUAUUUCAUCCAUGAAAUUAGUCCCUGUUCUCAAUGUAGAGCAUGGACUAAUUUCAUGGAUGAAAAUUUUUAAAGAAAUCAAAAAUCUAAGGAAUAUUUUGAAGGGACUAAAAUGAAAUGUUGGUAUAUUUAGAUGAUUAUUUACUUAUUUAACCCUAAUUAAUUUGAGACAAAAAUAUCAAAUGAGAUCUGUAUGUAGUUGGCAUACAUAUAUUCAUGCAUUUACCUGUAUGUAGUUGGAUAUUCAGGCCACAAGUGUCAUUUACAAGGGUCAAGAGAUAAGACAAUAUAUCAGUUACUCUUAGCCCUCAUUAUAAAGGUUGGAUCAUCUGCAAAUGUAGAGAGUUCUGCAUUGGAGGUAACAAUUAAUGUACAAAUUUUAUGUAUAGCCAUUAUAAUCUCUGGUAUGUUUUAAGAGUAGGUGUUGUUUAAAAAAAAAUGCAUGUUAUCAAGAAUAACAUUUCUGAUAUAUGUUAAUAACUAGAUGCGCAAAAUUUACUUUAACAUGACAUAUAUCGAGUCUUCAAGAGAAAAAUCAUUUUUGCAGCAGUAAAUUCUGAAUUGAGUCUAAUUUACUCUGAUAUAUUGUCUUAUCUCUUGACCCUUGUAACUGAUAUAUAUUUUCUUGUAGUAAUUUACCUGUAUGAGUCUAAGUUGGUUAUCAUGUUACACUUAGCCCCUAUAUAGACAAGUAAUCGAGUGAUUGCAAUUUCUUAAACAUCUAAUCACUGUCUAUUUUAAGAUUUUAUAGUUUUAAAUGUUUUUAUUACUUUGGAACUAGUAAUGCUUGUUUAUUAUGUUUGAUGAUGUAGGUUAAGGAAUGACUCUAAAGACGUGGGAAGCUGCAGCGUGGAUUGAAGAUGUAUCGCUGAAGAUGUGAAAGAUGUGAAAAGUUGCAGCGACCUAGGACUCUAGUUUGGUCGUACAUAAUACGAGUGAGUGAGUUCAGUCUCUCCUUGCUUAAUGAGGAAUAAUAUGCGUUGUCCUCAUUGAAUGGAAUCCUAGGAUGAAUAAAAGAAUAUGCCAAUGGGAAGGUAAGAUUGGAUAAGGAGGGAUGGAUAAGGACAACCCAUUUAAAAUGACCAAAAGGUACAACUUGUAGUGGGUGGCCUUGUACUAUAAACGGACCCCCGAGUGUUAAUGCCAAGGUCGGAAAAUUCAUCUUAGAAUUGGAGAGGCCAGGUUACGGCUAGGGUUAACAAAUUUAGAGAUCUCAUUCUAUCUCAUCUUCUCCAUAUACGUCUUUUUAACACCUUUUACGUAUGUGUUUUAAAAAUAGUUGAUAGUGUAAUUAAGGUGUAUAUGAUUAUUGAUAAAUUGAGUAAUGUUAUUUAAACAUAAAUUUUUUGACAACGUAUUCUGAUAUUAUAUAAAAUGCAUCAUUUAUAACUCUGGAUAUCACUUGUGUGAGAGAGAGUAAACGUAAACUAAUCAAUAGUUGAGUUUGUUGAUAGUAUUAAGGGUUAAAUAUAUUUUUAGUCAUUAUAAAUAUAUAAACAUUUUUUUUUUCUUUGACUUUUUUUUUUUUGAUAGAAAAUUUCUUUGACUUUUAAUCCCUCCUAAAGUUUUCAAUCACCAUUUUUUAUACUUAGUUCUAAGUCAACUCAUAUGUAACCUUCAUAUUUUUUAAUGAAAUAUUUUAGAAAUGAUUAGAAUAUUAUAAGAAUCUCUAAAAAAAAUAACAAUAUGAAUUUUUAAGCGCAAAAAAUAUUAAAAAAGUUAUUUUUAAUUCAUGUUUUGUUUAAAAAUUCUACAUUCUUUUAGAGAUUCUUAUAGUAUAGUAUUCUAAACAUUCAAAAAUAUUAUUUUAAAAUAAGAAGCUUAUUCAAGAGUUGACUUAAAAGUAAUGAUCAAAAGUAAUGAUGGGAAAUUCUUAGAGACUAAGAAUCGAAGAAAAUUUUUAAGUGGAUAAAAACAAAAAAUUGAUAUAUUUAUUAGGAUAAAAAACAUAUUUAAAUCUAGCAUUAAUAAGUUAAUAUUUGAAAAAUGAAAUAAGGUUGUAAAUAGUGAAAUUGUUAUGUCAACUAUUUAAUUAAGUAGCGGACUAGUUUAAUAGAUGUUCAUUUAUAUUUUCUAAAUAAUAAUUAAUUGGGUUAAAUAAGUAAAUGGUCCUCCUAAAUAUACAAAUAUUUGAUUUUAGUCCCCCUAAAAUAUUCUUUAGGCUUUUGGUCCCUUCAAAAUUUUUCAUCUAUGAAAUUAGUCCAUGUUCUCAAUGUAGAGCAGGGAUUAAUUUUAUGGAUGAAAAAUUUUAGAGGAACCAAAAACAUAAAAAAUAUUUUAGAGGAAUUAAAAUCAAAUGUUGAUAUAUUUAGGAGGAUUAUUUACGUAUUUAACCCUAAUUAAUUUGAGACAGAAAUAUCAAAUGAGAUCUGUAUGUAGUUGACAUACAUAUAUUCAUGCAUUUACCUGUAUGUAUUUGGAUAUUCAGGCCACAAGUGUUGCCACUCCUCCAAAGGAUAAGCUGGAUGUCGAAGAGAGUCCCUCCAUAGAUGAACCUUAUCACAUUCAUAUUUCAAGGUGCUAGAAAACAUCUUGCAUGUCUUCAAAAUCUCCUCAGGAUACAAGUCGUGCUUGUAUUCAUUAGGCUUCUCAAACACCUCCUUGAAAAUACUCAUUGUUUCCUUCAUUUCAUCCAACGAGAGACCAUGAUUGAUAACCUAUUUUAAUCAAAGAAAUUUUGGGACUUCUAUUAGACAUGUGUUGACAUGUGUUGCUAUAGUAUAAUGAGCACUAAAAUUACUAAUGAAAAAUAUGUAGGGGCGAAAGUUUGAAGAAAUAUUUUGUAAGAACUAAAAAAAAAACUUACUCCCUCAGUCCUAUAAUAAUCCAGCCAUUUGCAACAAAAAAAAAUUGUAUUUCAUUUUUCAAUACAAUAUUAAUUACUUUUUUCUCUUUAUAACUCUAGUUAAUACUACUUUCAUCACUCACAAUCUACGAAGCAUGGAUACGGACACCGGACACGACACGGACACCGCGUCGACACAUCUAAUUUUUUUUAGAAAAUCACAUAAUUCAGUGUAAUUAUAUGUGUCGGUGUCGGACACCACAUGUGUUUGACACGAGGAUACGCAUUAUUCGAGGAGUGUCCAUGCUUCAUAGCUUCAAAUUCAAUAUAUACCACUUUGCAUUUAUGAUAGUAGAGAAUACAUCAAUAUUUAACAAAAGCACUUAAAACUAUUUUUCUCUCUCAUUUAUUUAUGAGAAAUGCUAAAACGCACGAAAUUAUUUGUCGUCAUUUUUGUACGAAAAAGUGUAUACUUAUUAUUUAGUUCUUUAUCUUAAUUUUAAUUUGACACAAAGUGACAAACUUUGCCUCUUCUAGAUAUAUCUUAUGAUAAAUCACAAAAAUACCUCAUUGGUGGUGCUUCUCCAAGUUUACUGUUGUCAGUCCCUGCCUCACCAAUGUCAUGUAAACCGGUGGAUCAUGCAUGUNUAGUCCUCAGGCACAGAUUUGAUGCUUGACCGGUUUGAAAUAAAUUUCUCCAUAUCUCCUUGAAGUAGCUUGAUUAUGCUUUAUUAGUAUACAAUAUAGAGUGAUAGUAAUGGCUAAAACUGGGGAGAGGAUGUAUUUAU